rnacentral:rRNA from 1 species
UGCCAGACUCCUACGGGAGGCAGCAGUGGGGGAUAUUGCACAAUGGGGGGAACCCUGAUGCAGCGACGCCGCGUGGGUGAAGGAGCGUUUCGGCGCGUAAAGCCCUAUCGGCAGGGAAGAAGGAGGACGGUACCUGACUAAGAAGCCCCGACUAACUACGUGCCAGCAGCCGCGGGAAUACGUAGGGGGCAAGCGUUAUCCGGAUUUACUGGGUGUAAAGGGGGCGCAGACGGCAGCGCAAGCCAGGAGUGAAAGCCCGGGGCCCAACCCCGGGACUGCUCUUGGAACUGCGCGGCUGGAGUACUGGAGAGGCAGACGGAAUUCCUCGUGUAGCGGUGAAAUGCGUAGAUAUGAGGGGGAACACCAGUGGCGAAGGCGGUCUGCUGGACAGCAACUGACGCUGAGGCGCGAAAGCGUGGGGAGCAAACAGGAUUAGAUACCCCCGUA